rnacentral:rRNA from 1 species
CAGCCGCCGCGGGAAUACGAAGGGUGCAAGCGUUAAUCGGAAUUACUGGGCGUAAAGGGCGUGUAGGCGGCCUGGGGCGUCCCAUGUGAAAGGCCACGGCUCAACCGUGGAGGAGCGUGGGAUACGCUCAGGCUAGAGGGUGGGAGAGGGUGGUGGAAUUCCCGGAGUAGCGGUGAAAUGCGCAGAUACCGGGAGGAACGCCGAUGGCGAAGGCAGCCACCUGGUCCACUUCUGACGCUGAGGCGCGAAAGCGUGGGGAGCAAACCGGAUUAGAUACCCGCGUAGUCCCUGUCUCUUAUAC